GACGAACGCUGGCGGCGUGCUUAACACAUGCAAGUCGAACGGAAAGGCUCCAGCUUGCUGGAGUACUCGAGUGGCGAACGGGUGAGUAACACGUGGGUAAUCUGCCCUGCACUCUGGGAUAAGCCUGGGAAACUGGGUCUAAUACUGGAUAUGACCUUUCUCCUUAUGGGGUUUGGUGGAAAGUUUUUCGGUGUAGGAUGAGCCCGCGGCCUAUCAGCUUGUUGGUGGGGUGAUGGCCUACCAAGGCGACGACGAGUAGCCGGCCUGAGAGGGUGAUCGGCCACAUUGGGACUGAGAUACGGCCCAGACUCCUACGGGAGGCAGCAGUGGGGAAUAUUGCACAAUGGGCGGAAGCCUGAUGCAGCGACGCCGCGUGAGGGAUGACGGCCUUCGGGUUGUAAACCUCUUUCAGCAGGGACGAAGCGUAAGUGACGGUACCUGCAGAAGAAGCACCGGCUAACUAUGUG
rnacentral:rRNA from 1 species